rnacentral:rRNA from 1 species
AUUGAACGCUGGCGGAAUGCUUUACACAUGCAAGUCGAACGGCAGCACGGACUUCGGUCUGGUGGCGAGUGGCGAACGGGUGAGUAACAUAUCGGAACGUAUCCAAUAAUGGGGGAUAACUAAUCGAAAGGUUGGCUAAUACCGCAUACGCCCUACGGGGGAAAGCAGGGGAUCUUCGGACCUUGCGUUAAUGGAGCGGCUGAUAUCUGAUUAGCUAGUUGGUGAGGUAAAGGCUCACCAAGGCGACGAUCAGUAGCUGGUCUGAGAGGACGACCAGCCACACUGGAACUGAGACACGGUCCAGACUCCUACGGGAGGCAGCAGUGGGGAAUUUUGGACAAUGGGUGCAAGCCUGAUCCAGCCAUUCCGCGUGAGUGAAGAAGGCCUUCGGGUUGUAAAGCUCUUUCGCAAGGGAAGAAAACUUACUUUCUAAUAAAGAGUGAGGUUGACGGUACCUUGAUAAGAAGCACCGGCUAACUACGUGCCAGCAGCCGCCGUAA